UGGGGAAUUUUGGACAAUGGGCGAAAGCCUGAUCCAGCAAUGCCGCGUGUGUGAAGAAGGCCUUCGGGUUGUAAAGCACUUUUGUCCGGAAAGAAAUCCUUGGCUCUAAUACAGUCGGGGGAUGACGGUACCGGAAGAAUAAGCACCGGCUAACUACGUGCCAGCAGCCGCGGUAAUACGUAGGGUGCAAGCGUUAAUCGGAAUUACUGGGCGUAAAGCGUGCGCAGGCGGUUUGCUAAGACCGAUGUGAAAUCCCCGGGCUCAACCUGGGAACUGCAUUGGUGACUGGCAGGCUAGAGUAUGGCAGAGGGGGGUAGAAUUCCACGUGUAGCAGUGAAAUGCGUAGAGAUGUGGAGGAAUACCGAUGGCGAAGGCAGCCCCCUGGGCCAAUACUGACGCUCAUGCACGAAAGCGUGGGGAGCAAACAGGAUUAGAUACCCUGGUAGUCCACGCCCUAAACGAUGUCAACUAGUUGUUGGGGAUUCAUUCCUUAGUAACGUAGCUAACGCGUGAAGUUGACCGCCUGGGGAGUACGGUCGCAAGAUUAAAACUCAAAGGAAUUGACGGGGU
rnacentral:rRNA from 1 species